GCAUAAGCUGUGUAGACUCGUCCGCACAGGAUUUCCACCCUAAAACCCUGAAGCAUAAAACCCUUCUUCUCAACAAGUUUCAAGGGUUUAUCACAGUCGCAUUCUCAAAACCUUUCUCAAUCGGAAGAACAAAACCCUAAACCUCAAUAUCUUCAACAGUCCGUGUCAUCAACAUGGCGAGUUUGAUCCUCAGAAGAUCCUCCUCUGUAAUCUCGCGCCGCUUCUUCGCCACUCUCGUCACCGUCGAACCGAUUCCGCGCCACAGCGGGCUUGCCGCCGUCCGGCACGGUGGCUCCAACGACGGAGUUGGAAUCAGAUCCUUGCAUGCGAUAUCCGGACCGUUGAACUUCCGCUCGUCGCCGGUUUCUCGCACUGCGCAGCUCGCCGUGGAACGCGACUACUCCAACGAAGAGGUAGGUUCCGGCACGAACUGCGACGAAGGACUCGAGAUCGCGAAGCUCGGGAUCUCGACGGAGAUCGUGGAUGCCUUGUCCAAGAAAGGGAUCGCAAAGCUGUUUCCUAUCCAGAGAGCUGUGCUGGAACCUGCAAUGCAGGGACGUGAUAUGAUUGGUCGAGCUAGGACAGGAACUGGGAAAACUCUUGCAUUUGGGAUACCCAUCUUAGACAGGAUUAUUCAGCUGAAUGCUAAGCAUGGGCGAGGAAAAGAUCCUUUGGCUAUGGUUUUGGCUCCUACUAGAGAACUUGCACGGCAGGUUGAGAAGGAAUUCAAUGAGGCUGCACCUAACCUGGACACGAUCUGUCUUUAUGGUGGUAUGCCCAUCCAACAACAAAUGAGGCAGCUUAAUUAUGGUGUAGAUAUUGUAGUAGGCACACCUGGUCGAAUUAUUGAUCUUCUCAAUAGGAGGGCACUGAAUUUAAAGGAUGUGAAAUUUGUUGUUCUUGAUGAAGCUGAUCAGAUGCUUCAAGUAGGAUUUCAAGAAGCUGUGGAGAACAUCUUGCAGAAUUUGUCUCCAAAUCGUCAGACUCUUAUGUUCUCAGCAACAAUGCCAUCUUGGAUAAAGAGUAUUACCCGCAAUUACUUAAACAACCCCCUUACCAUUGAUCUCGUUGGAGAUUCUGAUCAGAAGUUGGCAGAUGGAAUUUCACUGUACUCUAUUGCGUCUGAUGUGCGCACUAAAGCAGGGAUUCUUGCACCUCUGAUAACAGAACAUGCAAAUGGAGGAAAGUGUAUUGUUUUCACUCAAACCAAACGUGAUGCUGAUAGAUUAUCAUAUGUAAUGGCUAAAAGCCUUAAAUGUGAGGCUUUGCAUGGAGAUAUUUCACAAACUCAGAGGGAAAGGACUCUUGCUGGUUUCAGAAACAACCAUUUCAAUGUUUUAGUGGCAACGGAUGUUGCAUCACGGGGCCUUGAUGUUCCAAAUGUAGAUCUCGUGAUACAUUAUGAUCUUCCCAGUUCAUCAGAGAUAUUUGUUCACAGAUCUGGACGAACAGGCCGUGCUAGGAAGAAAGGAGCUGCUAUUCUUAUUUACUCAGAAGAUCAAUUCAGGACUGUAAAGACUAUUGAGCGUGAUGUUGGAUGCAAAUUUACUGAGCUAGCAAAGAUUAAUGUUCAGAGUGGAUCAGCAGACAUGUUUGGUGGAUGGAGUGGUGGUCGAUUUGGUUUUUCAGGAGGUAUGAGGGAUCGUCAAUCUGGAGGUACAGGUUUUGGUCGCAGUCCUGGAUUUGGCCGAUCUAGUUAUGGAAAUUCCAGUUCUGGCAGUUACAGUAACUCCGGGUUUGGCCGAUCUAGCCAUGGAGAUUCCAGUGAAACAGGAAGGUUUGGACGACCAAAGUCUAGCCAUUUUAGUAGCCCUGGUUCAAGUAAGUCAGGAGGGGGUUUCGGUGGAUUUGGUAGCUUUGAUCGAUCUGGUGGAUUUGGUAGCUCAGAUCGAUCUGGUGGUUUUGGAUGGGCUCAAUCUGGUGGUUUUGGUGAUAGAAAGUGAAGCCAGAACAGCACAUGGCGUGGUUUCGGUGCUUGUGGGGAUAACCUAAAUAGUAAUAGUUACAAUAGAGGAAAGGCUUUUUAACUUCAUCAACUUGUCUUCAGGUAAAACUCAGCUCUAUUUAGUCCCUCCCGCCAUAGCAAAAACCUCUAUCAUCUCCAUGUUCCAGCUUCUGCCUAUCAUAGCGAAGGCCUAGGAAAUUUUGUAGCAGCUGCUCCUAUUUGUCUAAUGCAUUCUUCAAAAUUCAUAAUGGUCAAAGAUAGAAAAAAUUCGAAACAGGUUGGUGUUCUCCUGUUUAUAUCAUCUCAAUGUUGUGAUACAAGGAAUUUCUCAUAUUGUAACUCAUUAUAACUAUUUGUAAUAUUAAUACAUUAAUAUAUUAUCAACAACCAGUCAGCUUUUAGUUGCA